rnacentral:lncRNA from 1 species
GUGUUGCUCAGUUUAAAGUUUUCUAUGUUGUGAUUUGUAUACUGUUUUUGUUGUUUGUUUUCUUUUUCUUUUUUUUGUCAUUGCGUUGUCAGUUUAUUUUUGACUUAUGAGUUUGAAUGUCCCUUUGGUAUCCUUCGACUCUCUUUUACCAUAAUGUCCUGGUGACUGGAAAAGAUUAUUAUAAUAUUCUGCUGGCAAUCGAAGAUAACUACUAGUAUAAUGUCCUAGUGACUUGAUAUGAUCAUUUUAACGUUCUAAAGUGACCGUAGAAGAUCACUUUAUUAUCCAUUUGGGCUAAAAGUUGGAUAGGUUGUGUGACAUUAUCGAAUCUACUUCGUUUCAAUGGAAUCCAAUAUUGGUACGGCUAAAAAUGUAUUACAGACAACUCAGAAUGAAGGUUUUC